AAUGUACAUUCAAUGAAAUAUAUUGAAUGGAAUAGUAUGAUAAUCAAUUCGCGAUAAUUUGUUUCUAUAAUACGCACCAAUUUGUUUAUGCUGUUUUAAUUGUCAAUAUGCACAAUUGAAAUAUUUAAAUAUUAAAUAUAUCAUCUUAUGAUGGGAAAUCAGAUCUUAUUUCAAUGUUCAAACAAUUCAGCGAAAACUGAAAUUGUAUCACAUAAUAAUCAAUCUGAACAUACAACUUCCAAUAUCUAUUGAACCAUGUUAACGUAGAAAUACAUGGGCAAAUUCGUAAGUAAUAACAAAUGUUCGAUAUAGUUUAAAUGUACCAUAUCAAUUCACUAGGUUCCUCCGCUUCGUUGUCAUCAGAUUCUUAGAAGCACCAGAUCGAGUUGUUUUAUGGAACACUUCGUAUAAAUACAGAGACUGGCGAAACUAUGUCUGUUCGACACAAACUAAUGUACUCUGUAUAGGAAAUUCGAUAUCGUAAUUCGUAAAUGGAAAAUAUAGAUAUGCUGUAUAUACUAUUAUUUUUAUUUUUCAAAGUGUAUUUAAUGACAACGUGAUAGUAAUGUGACACAUAAAUGAAAAGUAUCUACAACUUUAUAUUUAAUAUUUUAUCUGCCCUAAUAUAUAAUUAUCAUUAUUAAAAUGCAUUUGACUUAAGUAAAAAAUAUAAGCAUAACAGCAUAUUUAAAAAUAGAAGCAAUGCAAUUGCACAAAAGAAGAUACAGUAGUUUCUAAAAACCAACCAACAUAGUGCAAAAAAAUGUAUCAAAUGAACCUUGAAAAUACUGGAAGAAACAUGAUCCCAUUAUUAUGUACAUUUGUGUUCUUUUCCUGGAUCUCACCAGUCUUUAAUUAUAAUCCGUUUGUCAGAUCCAGAAAAAAUCGUAAGAAUCAAACAAUGAUAAGAAAUAUAUUAAUAUUUCGGAAAGAAACUUUUUUAGGCAUGUGAAUUAUUGCC